rnacentral:rRNA from 1 species
GACGAACGCUGGCGGCGUGCUUAACACAUGCAAGUCGAGCGAUGAAAUUCUCUUCGGAGAAUGGAUUAGCGGCGGACGGGUGAGUAACACGUGGGUAACCUGCCUUAUAGUGGGGGAUAGCCUUUCGAAAGGAAGAUUAAUACCGCAUAAUAUUGUAGUUUCGCAUGAAACAACAAUUAAAGAUUUAUCGCUAUAAGAUGGACCCGCGUCUGAUUAGCUAGUUGGUGGGGUAAAGGCCUACCAAGGCGACGAUCAGUAGCCGAACUGAGAGGUUGAUCGGCCACAUUGGGACUGAGACACGGCCCAGACUCCUACGGGAGGCAGCAGUGGGGGAUAUUGCGCAAUGGGGGCAACCCUGACGCAGCAACGCCGCGUGAAGGAAGAAGGUUUUCGGAUCGUAAACUUCUUUAAGUGGGAAGAUAGUGACGGUACCCACAGAAUAAGCCACGGCUAACUACGUG